rnacentral:rRNA from 1 species
GAUGAACGCUGGCGGCGUGCCUAAUACAUGCAAGUCGAGCGAACAGACGAGGAGCUUGCUCCUCUGAUGUUAGCGGCGGACGGGUGAGUAACACGUGGAUAACCUACCUAUAAGACUGGGAUAACUUCGGGAAACCGGAGCUAAUACCGGAUAACAUGUUGAACCGCAUGGUUCAACAGUGAAAGACGGUCUUGCUGUCACUUAUAGAUGGAUCCGCGCCGCAUUAGCUAGUUGGUAAGGUAACGGCUUACCAAGGCAACGAUGCGUAGCCGACCUGAGAGGGUGAUAGGCCGCACUGGAACUGAGACACGGUCCAGACUCCUACGGGAGGGAGCAGAAGGGAAUCUUCCGCAAUGGGCGAAAGCCUGACGGAGCAACGCGGCGUGAGUGAAGACGGUCUUCGGAUCGUAAAACUCUGUUAUUAGGGAAGAACAAAUGUGUAAGUAACUAUGCACGUCUUGACGGUAACUAAUCAGAAAGCCACGGCUAACUACGUG